ACAAGUUAUUAAGAGCAACAGGCGGAUGCCUUGGCGCUGAAGGCGACGAAAGACGUGGUAAGCUGCGAUAAGUCUCGGGGAGGAGCUAAACAUCCAUCGAUCCGGGAAUUUCUGAAUGGGGCAACCCACCAGGAGUUAUGUCCUGGUACCCCCGCAUGAAUUCAUAGUGCGGGAGGAGCUGACCUGGGGAAGUGAAACAUCUCAGUACCCAGAGGAAAGGAAAUCAAACGAGACUCCCAAAGUAGCGGCGAGCGAAAUGGGACGAGCCUAAACCGUGCGGUUUCGACCGUGCGGGGUUGUAGGGCCGUCGUACGCGAUUCCGGAGUAGGCAGAAGAAGUCGGCUGGAAAGCCGCACCAUAGCGGGUGAUAGUCCCGUAUUCGAAACCGAAAAGGACGCAGACGGUACCUGAGUACCGCGGGGCACGUGAAACCCCGUGGGAAUCCGGGAGGACCAUCUUCCAAGGCUAAGUACGACCCAGCGACCGAUAGUGUACCAGUACCGUGAGGGAAAGGUGAAAAGAACCCCUGUGAGGGGAGUGAAAGAGAAUCUGAAACCUGUUGCUUACAAGCUGUGGGAGCCAUAUAACGAUGGUGACCACGUGCCUUUUGCAUAAUGAGUCAGCGAGUUAAUCUGUUGUGCGAGGUUAAGCGGAAGCGGAGCCGUAGCGAAAGCGAGUCUGAUAAGGGCGACGAGUACAACGGAUUAGACCCGAAACCGGGUGAUCUAUCCAUGAGCAGGUUGAAGCAAGGGUAAAGCCUUGUGGAGGACCGAACCAGUAUCGGCUGAAAACGAUUUGGAUGACUUGUGGAUAGGGGUGAAAGGUCAAUCAAACCCGGUGAUAGCUGGUUCUCCCCGAAAUAUAUUGAGGUAUAGCCUCGGGGAUUGUCUGUCGGAGGUAAAGCACUGACAAGGCUAGGGGUCCUACCAGAUUACCAAACCUUAUCAAACUCUGAAUGCCGACAAGAUGUACCCCGGGAGUCAGACGGCGGGUGCUAAGGUCCGUCGUCGAAAGGGUAAGAGCCCAGACCGACAGCUAAGGCCUCCAAAUCCAUACUCAGUGGUGAAGGUGGUGGAGUUGUUCAGACAGCCAGGACGUUGGCUUAGAAGCAGCCAUCGUUUAAAGAAAGCGUAAUAGCUCACUGGUCUAAUGACUCUGCGCCGAAAAUGUAACGGGGCUAAGUAUGGUGCCGAAGCUUCGGAUUCGCCUUUUGGCGUCUGGUAGGGGAGCGUUCUCUACGGGCAGAAGCUGUGUUGCAAAGCAUGGUGGACUGUAGAGAAGUGAUUAUGCUGACAUGAGUAACGAUAAAACAGGUGAAAAACCUGUUCGCCGAAAACCCAAGGUUUCCCGGGUAAAGUUAAUCUUCCCGGGGUUAGUCGGUCCCUAAGGCGAGGGCGAAAGCCGUAGCUGAUGGAAAACGGGUCAAUAUUCCCGUACUCAAAACAGUGUGCGAUGGAGGGACGCAGAAAGAUAGGCGGGCCAACUGUUGGAUGUUGGUGCAAGCUGGUAGGAAUACCCCAUAGGCAAAUCCGUGGGGCGUAUCCGAGAAGCGAGUCCGUGGCCGCAAGGCCUGAAGCCGUUGAGUCUCCGCUGCCUAGAAAAGCUCCUAAGUUUAGCUGUUUUGACCCGUACCGCAAACCAACUCAGGUGGGUGGGAUGAAUAAUCCGAGGCGCUCGAGAGAACUCUGGCCAAGGAACUCGGCAAAAUAACCCCGUAACUUCGGAAGAAGGGGUGCUCUGUUAGCGUGCGAGGUUUAACAUUUCAAGCGCGAGAGAGCCGCAGUGAAUUGGUGGUGGCGACUGUUUACUAAAAACAUAGGUCUGUGCGAAGUCGCAAGACGACGUAUACGGACUGACGCCUGCCCGGUGCCGGAAGGUUAAGAGGAGAGGUCAGCGCAAGCGAAGCCUUGAAUCGAAGCCCCGGUAAACGGCGGCCGUAACUAUAACGGUCCUAAGGUAGCGAAAUUCCUUGUCGGGUAAGUUCCGACCUGCACGAAUGGCGUAACGAUCUCCACACUGUCUCGGCCAGAGACUCGGUGAAAUUGAAGUCGCGGUGAAAAUGCCGUGUACCCGCAGAAAGACGGGAAGACCCUGUGCACCUUUACUAUAGCUUGACAUUGGAUUUUGGCCCUACAUGUGUAGGAUAGGUGGGAGGCUGUGAACCCUGUACGCCAGUAUGGGGGGAGCCACUGUUGAAAUACCACCCUUGUAUGUCUAAGGUCCUAACUUCACGCAGUUAUCCUGCUGAAAGACAGUGUCUGGUGGGUAGUUUGACUGGGGCGGUCGCCUCCUAAAAUGUAACGGAGGCAUGCAAAGGUUCCCUCAGGCUGUUCGGAAACCAGCCUUCGAGUGCAAACGCAUAAGGGAGCUUGACUGCAAGAGAGACAUCUCGAGCAGAGACGAAAGUCGGCGUUAGUGAUCCGGUGGUCCCGUAUGGAAGGGCCAUCGCUCAUUGGAUAAAAGGUACGCCGGGGAUAACAGGCUGAUCGCAUCCAAGAGUUCAUAUCGACGAUGCGGUUUGGCACCUCGAUGUCGGCUCAUCACAUCCUGGGGCUGAAGCAGGUCCCAAGGGUACGGCUGUUCGCCGUUUAAAGUGGUACGCGAGCUGGGUUUAAAACGUCGUGAGACAGUUUGGUCCCUAUCUUCUGUGGGCGUAGGAGCAUUGAAAGGGCCUGUCCCUAGUACGAGAGGACCGGGAUGGACACACCCCUGGUGAACCUGUUGUCGCGCCAGCGGCAUAGCAGGGUAGCUAUGUGUGGAAGGGAUAACCGCUGAAAGCAUCUAAGCGGGAAGCCUGCCUUAAGAUAAGUGCUCCCUGACGCAAGUCCUGAAGGGCCCAGGUAGACGACCUGGUCGAUAGGUCGGAGGUGUAAGCGCCGCGAGGCGUUCAGCUGACCGAUACUAAUAGCCCGUGAGGCUUGUUUCC
rnacentral:rRNA from 1 species